UUAGAAAAAAUAAUUUAAUUAUUAAAUUUUUUUAAAAAUUUCUAUUUUAUAAAUAAAGAGAAAUAGAGUAUCAUUUUAGUAUCUCUCAGUGACAUUUUCUCAAAAGAAAUAAUACAAUCAUAUGAAAUAUGUAAAGACCGUGUUGUGUUUAUAAUAGUUGUUUGAUAAUUAAAUUGGGAUAUUGUAAAAGGAGACCCUAGUAUGAGAGAAUCUGAGCCGCUUUUUUUUAUUUGGUCAAGACUGAUGAACUUCUGUCCUAGUACACAGUAAAAAGUCAACAAAUUGUUCGCUAGGCGACAGGUGGAGGGCAUGCACGAGAGAGGCUUGGUCCCAACUCCCAACUUAUCUAAAAGUUAUGCUUUGAUGUUUGAGAUUGUUAGCUUGGUGUGGAGACUGUUACUUUGCUGCACUCUCAAUAGAACAUCAACAAGCUUCUCCACCUUGGACUUCAACCCACUCAAAUAAUACAGAGGUUUGAUGGAUGGAAACAAAUCCGCCCAAUGAAACCCUCCAAAAAUUUCCAUCACUUCUUUGAUCAGAAGCACAAACUCG